UACGGGGGGAGCAAGCGUUGUUCGGAUUUACUGGGCGUAAAGGGCGCGUAGGCGGUCAGCACAAGUCAGUUGUGAAAUCUCCGGGCUUAACUCGGAAAGGUCAACUGAUACUGUGCGACUAGAGUGCAGAAGGGGCAACUGGAAUUCUCGGUGUAGCGGUGAAAUGCGUAGAUAUCGAGAGGAACACCGGUGGCGAAGGCGGCCAUCUGGACCGCAACUGACGCUGAGGCGCGAAAGCGUGGGGAGCAAACAGG
rnacentral:rRNA from 1 species